CUACGGGGGGCUGCAGUCGGGAAUAUUGGACAAUGGGGGAAACCCUGAUCCAGCCAUGCCGCGUGUGUGAAGAAGGCCCUAGGGUUGUAAAGCACUUUUAGUAGUGAGGAAGGCUCAGUAGUUAAUACCUACUGGGAUUGACGUUAGCUACAGAAAAAGCACCGGCUAAUUUCGUGCCAGCAGCCGCGGUAAUACGAAAGGUGCAAGCGUUAAUCGGAAUUACUGGGCGUAAAGCGCGCGUAGGCGGCUUGGUAAGUUGGAUGUGAAAGCCCCGGGCUCAACCUGGGAACUGCAUCCAAAACUGCCUAGCUAGAGUAUGGUAGAGGAUGGCGGAAUUUCCUGUGUAGCGGUGAAAUGCGUAGAUAUAGGAAGGAACAUCAGUGGCGAAGGCGGCCAUCUGGACCAAUACUGACGCUGAGGUGCGAAAGCGUGGGGAGCAAACAGGAUUAGAUACCCGAGUAGUC
rnacentral:rRNA from 1 species